UGGCUGAAGGAGGAGCCAGUCAUCCCUCCUCCUGCCUCCAGCUCUGUCUGGUCCUGGGGAAGGCUAGGCUCACAACCUAAA
rnacentral:miRNA from 1 species